rnacentral:rRNA from 1 species
GUAUUAAAGGUCAUGCCUGCCCAGUGAAAAUUUUAAACGGCCGCGGUAUUCUAACCGUGCAAAGGUAGCGUAAUCACUUGUCUUCUAAAUAAAGACCAGUAUGAACGGCUAAAUGAGGACAAACCUGUCUCCUACAACCAAUCAGUGAAACUGAUCUUCCAGCCCAAAAGCUGGGAUAACAACAUAAGACGAGAAGACCCUGUGGAGCUUAAAACCCCCUACCAAUAAAACACCAUGUUCAACUGGUAGAAGCUUUUUAGUUGGGGCGACUUCGGAACAAAACAAAACUUCCGAGCACAGAACCACUAAUUCCCACUGAGGCAAACAAGCCAAAGCAAAAAUUGACCCAGUUCACACUGACCAACGAACCAAGUUACCCCAGGGAUAACAGCGCUAUCUUCUUCAAGAGUUCAUAUCGACAAGAAGGUUUACGACCUCGAUGUUGGAUCAGGGCACCCCAAUGGUGCAGCCGCUAUUAAAGGUUCGUUUGUUCAACGAUUA